ensembl:lncRNA
UUAAAAUCUUUCUUCAAGCCUCUUCAGCUGUUUUGAGUUCUACAUUUGUUUUAGGCAUUUCUGGCUUCCAGUUUCCAGGGAGAAGAUGAAGACACCAAUUCCACUUCAAGUCACUAAAGGGGAAAAAAAGUCUCUGGGAAGAUGAUAUGUUGAAGAUUGCCAGCUCCUCUCUAAUGAGAGAAUCUCAUACUAAAAAACUGCAACUCAGCUUACUCUAAACUCAUGUGAGACUAAAAGUAUUUUUAGAAAAUAAACUAUUUUGUGAGCAGAAUAAGGAGAAUGAUUUAUACAUUAAAAGAAAUAUUAUAAAAAUGAACCACUUUGAAAUAUUCAAAUACUCUGAUUAAUCCAAUAACCAGCUAUGGUUUCAGAGGAUGGAUGAUGAAUUAAGUGACUCAUCUUCUGACAGAGAAAUGUUGGACUAAAUAGGAGAAUGAGACACACAUUUUUGGACAUGAGCAAUAUGGGAAUUUAUUUUGCAUGUCUUUUACACAUUUGCCACACAGAUUUUGUUUUCCUUUUCUUUUUGGGAGGUAGAGGGGCAAGGUAGAAGAGAGAAAAGUGCAUCCUAUUAGUUGAAAAAGAAUUCAUUUAAAAAGAAAAAGUUGAUUAUUUUAGAUUUAGAAACAGAGAAAGAAGACAAUUUAGUGAGAGGACUUUAAGAUUGAUGACUGCCACAGAUCAAUAAAUAUGUCUUCAGGAAACAUUAUAAAUCAGAAUACCAAUGAAUUAAUGUACAAUUAAAGGCAUAUAUAUUUCCUAUGACUGUAAUACUUGUUUUUGUCCACUCUCCAAGGUACCUGUUUCUUGAUAACAAGGCACUGAAGAAUUCCACUGGUAAUCAGAAGAGAGCUUGGCACUGUGUUACAUCUGGGAUAUAAACACAGGCAAGACAGGGAAACAGUCCUUACCCUGGAGGAAUUUCUGUCCAAUGGAAGAAAAACAACCCAUAAAGGAAAGUGGAAAAACUUAAGAUAGGGGAAGAGGAUCCAAGCAAGCACAAGAUGGCUGGAGAUGAAGAGGAGGAGGAGGAGGAGGAGGAGACAGAGGAAGAAGUAGAGAAGAAGGUUAAGAUAGCAGAGUUCAGUGAGGAUUAAGUAGAGCAUGGCUAGCCUAUCCGGCUAGGAGUAUGCUGGAGCCAACUAAUAUUGGCUCAGGGGAUCCAAUUGUUAAAUUGUCAGUGCUAAAUUUUCAGAUAGGUGUCAUAGUAGACACAGCUCUAAAUCUAGAGUAAGAAAAACCCAAAUUCAAAUCCAGCCUCACUCUGACUAUGUGACUCUGGGUAAGUCACUUAACUUCUGUUUGCUUCAGUUUCCUCUUCUGUAAAACGGGGAUAACAAUAGCACCUGCCUCCCAGCUUUGUUGUAAGGAUCAAAUGAGAUAAUAAUUAUAUAACAUUUAGCAAAGUGCCCGGUAGGUAGCACACAUAUAUAAAUAGCUAUUGUUACAUACAGUUAUUUACAUCUCCGAAACAAACUGGCCUUAAUUUGUAGUUUUGUGGAUUGUCUAGACUUAAUAAAACAAUGGAGAAAAUGUUAAUAAUAAAGAGU